GGACCCGCACAAGCAGCGGAGCGUGUGGUUUAAUUCGAUGCGACGCGAAGAACCUUACCUAGGUUUGACAUGGCUCUGGUAGCGAAGGGAAACCUAAGCGACCCGCAAGGGAGGAGUCACAGGUGCUGCAUGGCUGUCGUCAGCUCGUGUCGUGAGAUGUUGGGUUAAGUCCCGCAACGAGCGCAACCCUCGGCGUAUGUUUUACAUGUCAUACGCAACUGCCCGCCAUAAGCGGGAGGAAGGUGGGGAUGACGUCAAGUCAGCAUGGCCUUUAUAUCUAGGGCGACACACACGCUACAAUGGCGCGUACAAUGGGCGGCGAGUGGGCGACCACAAGCAAAUCUCUUAAAGCGCGUCUUAGUUCGGAUUGGAGUCUGCAACUCGACUCCAUGAAGGCGGAGUUGCUAGUAACCGCGCGUCAGCCAUAGUGCGGUGAAUGCGUUCCCGGGUCUU
rnacentral:rRNA from 1 species